UAAAAAUAUAGUCCAAACAGGUAAGGUGUAAUUGUAUUAUGAGCCAUAGUGCUUGGUCUGUUUGUCCUAUGUAAAUCAAUUGCAGUUAGAGGCUACAUUAAUUUUCUUUCUGUAAGCACUUAUUGAAAUUAUCUGAGCACAUUACAAGUACAUAUUUGCUUACUCUGUAUGCUCAAAUGUGACCCAUUAUAGCCAACAGAAAAAAAGCGGAGGCCCGAAAAACAGGUGGGGGUCCUCCACCACCACCACUCACAGAGGCUAAGCAGUUGGCCCUCAGCCAAAACAGUGGGCGCCCUGUGGCUGAAGGCAUCUCUGCAGGGACAUCCUCUGAGUCAAUAACCCCGCAAGACACAAGUGCCUACAUAAGAGGUAAAUUCAAAAUAAUACAUGAUGUGCAUACAUCCUUUCUUCACAGUCACCUUUGCAGUGCUACUCAUUCAUUUGAUAAACUCUUUACCAUAAUUAAUUAUUUUGUAGUGAAGUUAUCUUCCUACUGAUUUUGCCUUCCCUCAGUCUUGGUUGUCUUUGAGAGCAUAAUGACAAUGAAGUGUAAGGUGAUUGGUAUAUGUUUGUUAAUUGCCAUUUGGUUCCUUGUAAGUUAUAAGUGACCUGUAUAAACCUCAUAUUCUAUCAGUUGAUGGUGAUGGUGUAGUGCAUCUGGUGCAGAGUCCUGUUGAGCCAGACCAACAUGCAGUUGAGAAUAAUGAAGAAACAUUGACAGCUGUUACAGAGGAGGAAGCAACAGAGACACUUUAUGAGGUUUACAUCUUACAAUGGAAAAUAUAACAAUUGAAUAAAAUGUGGUACUAUAAUAAAACCAUGGACUUUCUAUGUCUCUAACAGAGUGAUGAUGGAAAUGCAGAGGAAGAGGGUCCAGCCACUUCUCCAACAAACCUUUCCUUAGUAAGAUGUUCAGCACUGACUUACAACCAACCUAAGUAGGCAUGUACUAUGAAUGUCAAUGCUAUUUUCUGUGUUUCAAUAGCUCCCUGUAAAGCAGCUGUAUAAGACAUACUUGAUCAAGAAAAUAGAAAAAUGCAACUUGGAAAUGGAACACUUCAAGCAACAGAUCCAAAAGACCAAGAUUGAGAUUUUACUGCUGGAACAUCAGUUAAGGGUGGGUGAAGUGGUCAGAGAUGGACGAAUUAUUUCAGUGUUUGAACAACAUAAUAAUAUACUUAUUAAUACUUUGUGUACAGGAAAUACAGGCGACCAAUAAAGCCAGUUGAACAAAAAA